GCACCGCUCUGCCCGAUUCCUGGACGCUCUGUUACCUCGUCAGGCCGGGGUAACAGUGCUGUAGAUGACUUCAGUCCCCCCUACAACACUUCGGAUGUCAGAGAAAAUGGCAAAGGAGCUGGGAAGAGACAACUGACCAGCCAGGGGGCUACAAGCAGAAAAACACGCCAAAAAAAUCAAAAUCAAAAUGUUUAUUCAGGUCCCUGAGGUUUGAAGGCAAGUGACGAAGAGUUGACGCAGAAGCGUUGCCCUGUAGGCUUGGGCCCAUCAUCAAACACGUGGCCAAUGUGCGCUCCACAGGUGGCACAUGCAACCUCCGUCCUUGCCAGCGAUGGGUUGCACACCAGCAGCAGCAGGUUGGCACCAACUGAAACAACACAAUUAUUAUGCAUGUCACGAGUUUAAGGAAUUGCUACAUGCAUGUUUAAAAUGUAGGUCAGGGGUUCCCAAGCUUUGUCAUCUGGAAGAUCUUUUCACCCCACAAGUAUGACAAGCCUCAGCCCAGAACCCUCUACUAAAAACAAUGGAUUAUUCACAAUGUAUAUGUAAUAUUAAUUAAUUUUUUCCAUGAAGUAAUAUGUAUGGUACUGAAAAGUAUUUUGAGUCUAACUGAAGUCAAAUCUAUGUUGUAUGAGCUGUGUGUUUGGAGUGAUUUUUGAUUUAGGAUAGCACCAGACUUUGUCGAGGUAGAAUGCAGAGGGUGUGGAAAAUGUUCUAUAAAUUCAUGGUAUGAUUAGUGUACUGUAUAUUAGUUCUUUGAAUUGUCUUCUAAUCGUUUUAAUUUUGAUAUAAAUUGUGCCAAUAUCUGUCUUACUGUUCUAGUGAGUGGUAAACUACACUUUGUUCUUUCAAUAAAUAUCACCUUUCAAAUUACAAUAUAAGCUAAAUGUUACUCACUUUAUACAAAAUAUAUAAGUUUGAUUUAGGCAGCUCUAUACCCACUUAAGUCUAGCCAUUAUUGUAAUGAUUUGUACAAGUUGUCACAAAUAAAGCUUCUGGUUCAUUAUGUAUAAAAAAAUAAUUACCUAUCAUUUGUAAAUCGAAGGUCAGAUGCUUGAUGCAAUACCAAACAUUGCAGGAUGAAAGGUGGUUGUUUGGGGUCAGACCCCAUUUCCCCCCCCCCACCCUUUGCUUUUAAUGGCAAAUGAUACCAAAUUAGAAUCUCGCUAAAUAUCUGACUCCAUCAUCACUAAGCUUUACGCAGCAUAUUCUCUACAUGAUGAUUAAAUGUUCAGAGUACCCAUAAUCAAGUGAAACCUUGCUGCAGCAUGGGUGGGUGGUGUCUAGUGAUGAUGGUAACAUUGAUGAUGGUCAUGUAUACUAGUUGUGAGUAAUGAAGAUGUGGCAGUGAUGAGCAUGUAAUGAAGAUGUGGCUUCCAUCACCUGAGCAAUGCCGGGUAUCCAAGCUAGUUAGUAAUAAAAGACUUCUAUUU